rnacentral:lncRNA from 1 species
UCUCUCUCCCUCUCUUUUGAUUGUAGUUGGGUUAUUGUUUGAGUAGAAAUUAAUAUGUUUCAAAAAAGAAAUUGGUGUAAUUGCUCAUUUUAAUUGGUAUUGGAUUUUUCAUAAUGGUUGUUAAAAGAGAGUUUGUUGAAUAAUACUUGUGGGCAAGCAGUUUAUAUUAUACUGAAGUGUGUGUUGUAUAAGAUACCCAGUUGCAGAAAAUGCCCAAAAGGAAGACUGACAAAGCUUAUGUGUUGGACAAGAGCAAACAUCUUGCAAGGCUUAACAUUGCUGAGGCUGGAAAAGUUGUAUUGAAAAGGUUCUUCUUUCUUCUUCUAAUGAAAGUAUGAUAUCCUUAGUGUUAUACCGUUUGUAAGAAGAAGAAAACAAUUGGGAUUUUACUGAUGUGUGUUGUAUACUGGACUGGAUGACACUCUCUGUUUAACAGUGGCUGAUCACCUGCCUUCGGUUUCUUGUACCUCAGUUUGUCUGACAGUUUCUGUGAAACUAUUUUGUUUCUACACCUUUUCAUACUUAUGUUCUUCCUCGAGAUUGUCCUGUCAGUGCAUUAUGUUCUUCAAUCAAGAUAGAGUUUAAUGGUUUUUUCAAAAUUUAUGUGAUAGUAUCAUCAUAGUUCAUAAUUUGAAAUCUUGUUCGUUAUUAAUCCAGGGGUGAGGGGAAAAUGGAGAAGCAAUUUCGUAUGAACUGUGUGGGUUGUGGACUCUUUGUUUUCUAUCGCUCAGAAGAAGAUUUGGAAGGUGCUUCUUUCAUUUAUGUUGUUGAUGGUGCUCUAAGCACGGUUGCUGCUGAAACCAAC